AUACGGAGAGUUAUGCGCCCACGUGUAGGAGUGAGUCUCUACGCUUGGUCUUGGCCAUCGCUGCACAAAGAGGUUUGCUGGUGCAUCACUUUGAUGUGGAUGUUGCUUACUUGAACUCAGACCUCCAGGAGGAUCUGUACAUGCUUCCUCCUCCUGGGUUUGAGGGCAAUGAGCGAGGUACUGUGUGGAAACUUCACAAGUCAAUUUACGGCCUGAAGCAGUCGGCCAGGAAUUGGAACUUGUGCCUGAAUGAAGCUUUGGAGAAGCUAGGUUUCAGGAAGAGUCUUGCUGACAGUUGCCUGUUCCUUAGAGGAUCAGGAGACUCACAGGAACUGGUGUUGUUUUACGUUGAUGACAUCAUCCAUGUUGGAAAGGCAGACAAACAGGUGCAGAAGUUUGCCAAAGAGCUUGGGAAACGGUUUCAGCUCAAGGACCUGGGUGCAGUAAAGAUCUACCUAGGCGUCCAGAUAGCGAGAACUGAGGAUGGUAGCUUCUUGCUCAGUCAGAAAGGCAAGAUUGAGCAGUUGCUGGAGAAGUUCAGAAUGUCCGAUUGUGCAGGAGUUCGGACACCCAUGGAGACGAACUUCGUGAAAAGAUAGCCAGCAAGCAGAAAGUGCUGAGUUUGAGAAUGCUGAGCUCUUUCAGUCAGCUCUAGGUAGUCUGUUGUAUCUGUCCCAAUGGAGCAGACCAGACAUUGCCUUUGCUACCAACCUGCUAAGUAGGGAAGCGUCAAAGCCCAGUGUGAGUGCUUGGCACGGUAUCAAGCGGGUACUGCGCUACCUGCAGCAUACCAAAGACUUCUGUCUUAAGCUGCCAGCUGAAGGUGAGGCGAAGCUCACAUGCUAUGCGGACAGUGACUGGGCGAACUCGCAGGACCGCAAGUCUGUGUCUGGGUUGGUGAUAAAGUUUGGGAAGUCACUGGUUGGGUGGAAGUCCCGGAAGCAAAGUCUCAUUGCGCUGUCUUCUACUGAGGCUGAAUUCAGUGCACUGUCAGACUUGUGCCGAGAACUAGAGUUCUAUAGAUGCUUGGUGCAAGAGAUCUAUGGGGAUUGUAGCUUGCCCAUCACGGUUUGGGAAGACAAUCAGCCUUGUUUGAAGUUGGCUGAAUCUGCGCAAUUUAAAGCGAGAACCAAGCAUCUGGACAUACGUUUCCAAAAUGUGUGUCAGAGUGUUCAGUCAGGUUUGAUACGACUGAAGUACUGUGCCAGUCACAGUAACCUGGCCGAUGGAUUUACCAAACCUUUAAGCUUCCAGCGUCAUGGGGAGUUUUGUGGUGGUUUGGAGUUGGGGGUAAGUUCUGUACUUACCGUCCCCACAGUAGCGCAGGGCGAGAGGGGGUGUGAGGAGAACCUGAGCUUACAGGGUUAAACAGCUCAGACUGUACGCCCUGCCUACAGUUGGGAGGGGGGAGCUACGUCAGUUCCGAGAGACUAAAGUCUUUGUUCUGUCUCUCUACUUUCGCUUUUGAGGAGAGAGGACGUGUUUUCGCGAUGCUGUUCGCUGUGAUAGAUAAUGGAUAGCCUGCU
rnacentral:lncRNA from 1 species